rnacentral:rRNA from 1 species
AGAGGGUGAAAGCCCCGUAUGUGAAAGCAGAUGAGACUGAGCAGGAUCCAGAGUACCACGAGACACGAGAAACCUUGUGGGAAGUCAGGGGGACCACCCCCUAAGGCUAAAUACUACUUAGUGACCGAUAGCGCAUAGUACUGUGAAGGAAAGGUGAAAAGGACCCCGGGAGGGGAGUGAAAGAGAACCUGAAACCCUGUGUCUACAAGCUGUGGGAGCACCUUAUG